GGGGGUAUAGCCCAGCGGCAGAGCGCGCGCUUAGCAUGCGCGAGGUCCUGGGUUUGACGCCCAGUACUUCCG
rnacentral:tRNA from 1 species